UACAGAGGGUGCGAGCGUUAAUCGGAAUUACUGGGCGUAAAGCGCGCGUAGGUGGAUAGUUAAGUGAGAUGUGAAAGCCCCGGACUCAACCUGGGAAGGUCAUCUCAAACUGGCUGUCUAGAGUACAGUAGAGGGUGGCGGAAUUUCCGGUGUAGCGGUGAAAUGCGUAGAUAUCGGAAGGAACACCAGUGGCGAAGGCGGCCACCUGGGCUGAUACUGACACUGAGGCGCGAAAGCGUGGGUAGCAAACAGG
rnacentral:misc_RNA from 1 species